rnacentral:rRNA from 1 species
AACGAACGCUGGCGGCAUGCCUAACACAUGCAAGUCGAACGAGAACUGGGGCUUCGGCCCUGGGGAGAGUGGCGCACGGGUGAGUAACGCGUGGGAACCUGCCUGGCAGUACGGGACAACCGCGGGAAACUGCGGCUAAUACCGUAUACGCCCGUCUUUGGGAGACUAAGGGCGGGGAAAGAAUAUCGCUGUUGGAGGGGCCCGCGUCGGAUUAGGUAGUUGGUGGGGUAAAGGCCUACCAAGCCUGCGAUCCGAGCUGGUCUGAGAGGAUGAUCAGCCACACUGGGACUGAGACACGGCCCAGACUCCUACGGGAGGCAGCAGUGGGGAAUUUUGGAC